UGUUCACAAGGAAGUUGUUCAAGUUAGUGUGAAGUUUGAUUAGCUGAGAUCUAUUAUGCCUUCAACAGUUUGUCUACCAGCAGUUUGGUGUUACAAGUCAACGACACUCAGCAACAACAAGGCUAAAUAAAAUAAAGCCAUGUCUAUUUCUACAUCAUUUUGUUGCUACUAACCUGUUGUUACUAACAACUAACUUGAAAUGGGAGAGUCAUUUCAGUUCUCAAUUAUUUUGUGCAACAAGUUACAAGAACAAAUUCAAGUGAGAGAGGUCACUACGCUAAGACUUUGUCUUCUCAUAAGAAUGGAUGGCUGCCUGGUCAUGUGGUAUGUGCACUGGACUAACGAGAGAGGUUACUACACUAAGACUUUGUCUUCUCAUAAGAAUGGAUAGCUGCCUGGUCAUGUGGUAUGUUCACUGGACUGUGUGGUCAUCUUGAUGCUCAUAUCUUGCCUGAUGCCAUUUAUUCUGCUGGAUGUUUGGUCAAGGAAAUAGAUUCUCUUCAACUCUUAAGGAACAAUCAAAACAGGUCAAACAUUUGACAAGAAUAUCAAGCAAGUGCAGUGUACAUACCAACAUGAUGAAAAGGUAGACAUGCAGAUCUAGACCAGCAUGAAGAUGUAGACAGACAUGAUGAAGAUGAAGACCUGCAUGAUGUAGAUUUAGACAAGCAUGAUGAAGAUGAAGAACUGCAUGAUGAAGAUGUAGACCAGCAUGAUAAAGAUGAAGACCAACAUGAUGAUGAAAUGUAAACCAAAAUAU
rnacentral:sRNA from 1 species